AACAAUGCAGGUAUUUUAUUAAUUGAAAAAACUCUAAUGCAUAUUAUAGUAACUCUCUCUUUGGUCAAUUGAGGACAAUCAUAGCCACCCCUUACACAAAAUUGAAUCUGGGCCUGUUUCAAAUAAGAAUAGAAAUGAACAGAAAAAAAUAGAAAAAAGUGAAAACAUAGAGAUGCAGAAAGAAGAAUUCUCUUUUUCUUCAUUAACUCCUCACAUGAAUAACCCCCACUUCUUCAUUUUACAUCUCUUCACGUUUUCCUCUACAAACCAACCAAAAAGCUGCAUGCCACACACAGCAAUCAUGUUCAUAGGUCUCAAUUUGCAAGAAGAGGAAAUAGAAAAAUGAAGAAAACUCACUUAAUCGAUUAUCCUUUUCUCUUCAAUUUCAGCUUGUUUUUUUCUUAAUUUCCAUUCAAUCAAUAAACACCCACUUAAUUGAUUCUUGUUCCUUUUCAUCCUCAUAACACCUCACUCAACCACCUUGAAUUUUCGACGAACACAAAA
rnacentral:lncRNA from 1 species